rnacentral:rRNA from 1 species
AUGGGGGACGUCACCUCCCGCCGGCCACCAUCCAGCUAUGCGCCGGCCAUCGCUGCCUCGUGUUCGUGGUCAACAAGGCUGGUCUCCUCCCGAACAGCCUCCGGCGCUUCAUGGCUCAUCCCGCCGUCACCUUCACCGGUAAUCACGUGGUGUCCGACCAGCGCGUCCUUCACGAGACCUGCCACCUCCCGUGUCACGCGCGCCUUUGAUAUCAAGGCAGUGACGUGCCUGCACAAGGUGUUCAUCAAGAGGACCGCCAAGGCUGUGCUGGCCUAUGGCGCCAUCCCUAGGCAGAGGUACUCAGAGGAGGCGUGGAUGCAACACCGGUUCCUGCGGGAGCAGGUCAAGUCCGCGGCGCUCCAGGCAUACCUGUCGUCCCGCGUCGGCAUCCACCUCCUCGACAUCGAGGCUGUCAUGCAUGAGGGCGACCCUUCAUCUGCCCCGCCUCUCCGCGUCACGUCUCGUCGUCUCGGUCUCCUCCUGAACAGCCUCCAGCGCUUCAUGGCUCAUACCACCGUCACCUUCAUCGGUAAUCACGUGGUGUCCGACCAGUGCCUCCUUCGCGAGACCUACCGCCUUCGUGUCACGCGCGUCUUCGACAUCAAGGCGGCGACGGGCCUGCGCAAGGCAUCCAUCGAGAGGACCCCCGAGGCUGUGCUGGGCUAUGGCGCCAUCCCCAGGCAGAGGUACUCAAAGGAGGCGUGGAUGCAGCUGCGGUUCCCGCGGGAGCAGGUCAAGUCCGCGGUGCUCUAG